AUUGAACGCUGGCGGAAUGCUUUACACAUGCAAGUCGAACGGCAGCACGGGGCAACCUGGUGGCGAGUGGCGAACGGGUGAGUAAUACAUCGGAACGUGCCCAAUCGUGGGGGAUAACGUAGCGAAAGUUACGCUAAUACCGCAUACGAUCUACGGAUGAAAGCGGGGGAUCGCAAGACCUCGCGCGAAUGGAGCGGCCGAUGUCAGAUUAGGUAGUUGGUGGGGGUAAAAGGCUCACCAAGCCAACGAUCUGUAGCUGGUCUGAGAGGACGACCAGCCACACUGGAACUGAGACACGGUCCAGACUCCUACGGGAGGCAGCAGUGGGGAAUUUUUGGGACAAUGGGGGCAACCCUGAUCCAGCCAUUCCGCGUGAGUGAAGAAGGCCUUC
rnacentral:rRNA from 1 species